CCAAAUGUUGCGUCAAAAUUUUUGACUGUAAUCAAAGUGUAACUAUAACCGGAGUUAAAUUAAAUAGUUUUACAUAUUUGAGUCUAAGCUUUAUUUCACUGUAACAGGUAGUGUGACUUUAAGCAGAGUGACUAUAUGAGGAGUCGAUUUUAACUAGAUUCAUCUUCACUAAAGUUGACAUCUAUUACCUUCCGUCCCAGCCACCAGUUAAUUGUGGAGAGCACCGUCUUUGUUGAAGUUUUCUUCUAGUAAAUAAACAUAUCACAAUUUGGUUUACAAAUCACUUUUACUUUUUUCGCAUAGUCAAUCUUUGCCAAAGAUAAAAAAGAUGCAAUAAUCAACCAAAUUGUUAUAUUUUAUUGAAAACUUUCUCCAGACCCAAUAAAAAAGAAGACCUUGUGAGGAAUUUGUGUGUACUAUUGGCAGAGCUAUUGUACGCAAUACUUUCAUCUGGCAGAAAAAUGUUUCUCCUGUUUCCCAAGUUCCCAUAAAGGAGAAUAUUUUUUUGCAGCUCGGUAAAGGAUGGCAAAAGAGGGCGCCGUUCAGAAGCUUGAGCAUAAAUGCGUUUUUAGAUAAGAAAGGCUUUGACUUUUAUUAUAUAUUAAUGCUUAUCAGAAGGCAUAAUCGGAUGUUUCCUGUGCUAAAUGAAAAUGUAUAGAAAAAGAAUUUAUUGGAGUUCAACAAUCUUUUGCAGUAUUUGAUUUUGCUUAGCGAAAAGAGGAUUUCAAUUAGCAGGCGUGUUAAAAAGAGCAGAAGAAUUUAAAAGUGGAUUAUUCACAUCACAGAUGAAGAAAAACUCUGACCAUGCAUUAUCUGUGUAUCAAAAUCUGGGAACAAAUCCUAUUUCUUGAAGUAUAAAUUUGAUAAACUGAUUUGCAUAAGCUGUAUUUGUAAAUAUGCGGAACGUAAUGAUUGUAAGUAUUCUGCUAGUAAGUACAUAAAGCCUGGAGGGUCUUUACCAGAUCAAGUGGAGCUGAUGCCAUUUGGCUUUUUGUAUGAACAAGGCUUAAAGGAGAACUGACACGCAAAAAUAACUUUGGCUUAUUCGAUGCAAAAUUUGUCGCUGACUUCAAAUCUGCAAAAAGUUUUCUUCUAAGAUUCGCCGUUUUUCUGAUAUUUGCACUUUUAUCCGUCAAUUACGUCACAGCCAGGACUCGGGAAUUUCCCGAAGCGGAAACAAGAUUAUCGCCAGGAGUUGUUAAAAUUCUCGGUUGACGUCACAAGUGACAUGUUAACAAUGCCGUUGUAAAGGCUUUCACCGCAACGGUAGAAGUACAAAUGAAGUUUCGUGUUUUAUUGAAAAUAGUUUGCGAUAAAAAGACAAAAAAUUGUUAGGCAUUUAAUUUAUAAGUAUAAAGAAGCUAGAAAAUCCUAGCUACAUAUCUGAUAAGACGCUAAUAUCCACAUAAAAUUUAUUUUUAUGCCAUGAUAUCUUCGAAGCAGCAUGCUCCGAAACAUUCAAAGAACCUCAAAGCUUGUGAAAAAGGAGUCGACUUUGUUUGAAAACUGAUACCGUUUCUUCAAAGUUUUUAUUUUUACAAUUACAAAUAAAACCGCAAUAUGGGGGUGGGGGGGGGUUGGGUUGAAGCAAUAGCCAAAAGACAAACGAAAUCUAGUGGAGACAGCGGUAAAAGUGAUCCUGCAGCCUGCUUAGGGUGCAGAAAUAUGAAUUCAAGAAAAAACCUUGUUUGAUGGGAGCUGCGAGUGUGACUAAAUAAUAAUUUCACUGAUCUUGAUUAUUGUAUUUUAACAGAGGUUGAGAUACUAGGGAAUAAUCUAGUCUAGAAAAAGACCAUCCCCCACCCAAGUCAAAAUUGUUUGCAAAAGAAGAUAAUGCGCCAGUUGAUAUUCCUAUGACAACUAAACAGCAUUUUUUCGACUAAGAAAUCAAGUUCUUUGGCUAAUAGCUAAGAGCCUAUUUCGUAAAUCCAGAUUUUUCGACUGCCAGGUAACUUAUCAGUUCCCGAAACCCUUCACGCCCGGUGAAAAUGGCAUAUAAUCCGCACAAGUCGACUUUUAACCCGCCUUCACUAUUCAAUAUCACUAUACAGUUAACGCGUUUGAAACAUUGAAAAACAAUCAUAGAAUGUUAUAUUAACAAUUAAUAACUUGCAGUUCCGUUUAGGGCAUCAUGGGCAUUUUAGCCAAUUUAGGCCAUACAGACAAAGCAGUCUAGACAAAGACGCCUCAAUCUGAAAUAAAAUUCUAGUUUUACGAUACCUGAUCUCAUUUAGAUUGUAGUUAUAGCAUUGUUUUUAAUAGAAAUUCCAUAUCAGUUUGUACUUCCAGUCUGUUCUUUGUCCAUAACAUCGUUACUGUUGAGCCAUGGGACGACUCACGACUGUCUGCCCAAGCGGCAGCGCUGGUUGGCAGCAAAAACUCAGACGGCUGAAACUCUCCAUUUGUUUCGAAAUCAGUGUAAUAAAACUCCGAUUCAGAGUCCCAAACCAUUGAAAAAGUCAAUUUUGUGUCAAAAUUGCAAAAUUAGCUCCUUUCACAUGCACAAAAUAAACAUUUGCCCGCAGCAUUUUGUUAAAGGUUUCUAUAGAGAAACACAAUACGUGCUGAGAACAUGUCACUUGUGACGUCAAAGAUGAUCGCCCACUCGUGACGAUUUUCGCCUCGAGUCUCAAGUUGUCGGAACAAUUGUCGUUUCUCAACUUAAAACGCUUGUAUUUCAAAAACGGUAACUGUGAUUUAAAAAAUUCUUUCUAUCCCGGAAUUUGCUUGUCACAAACUACCGUUUUAGCCAAACUUAUUUUUGCGUGUCAGUUCUCCUUUAAUACAUCCAUUCAUCCACUAGCAAUCCUUUAAAAACAAACGAGGAUAGGCAUAUUUUGAUAUUUUGAUGUUGUUUCUUUCACAGAGUAACAAUCGUUGUAACCUGGCUGUUGGCUGGAGCUGUCAUUUCGAUUAAUCUUUAUCUGGUCGUGGACAGCAUGUCUGGUUUCACAAAUAAACUAUUGUUGAUUGGAAUCGUACCACUGAUGGUGAUAUGGAUUAUCUUCUACUUAAUACUGGCCUACUAUGCUGCUGGAUUUCAAUUUCUUGAAAGAUUUAAG